UUUUAUCUAGCAUUCAUGAGACUCGCCUUUAAAUUGUUAUCUUUUCACACACAGAGACAUACGAGACCAUGAGGGCAUCCUAUAGACAAAAAGGACAUUCGAGGAAUUAAAAAAUUGAAUCGUCUCCUCAGAACAAACUGCAAGCUUUGAAAUCAUUGAAGUGUUGGCAAUUCCGUAAUCUCUUAACAUAGGCUGCCGCUAUCAUGCUUCUCAGGCCCGGAGGCUCUGUUCAUAAUCACCUCUCGCCAUAUCCGGGGAGGAUUAUGGUCUAGGCAGAGCGGCGCAUGAUGUUGUAGUGUGGCUAUUGUCAAUGACACUGUUGUGAUGUUGUUCACUUUGUCCCGGUGGUUCGAAAGCGACGCGAUGACAUCAUGUGUUUUCUCCUCAGCGAGUUUAUUAUUUUUCAUAGACCUCAUGGAGCAGAGUACCGAGGGCUGAGGAGAAAAGUGCUGGAGAGGGUGGCAUGCAUCAGGAUGAGAGGGAAGAAAAUGCUGGAGGAUGUAAACAUUUGGAGGAACAUGUAUAGAGUGGUUCUUUGUGGAAAAAAUGUA